ensembl:lncRNA
AUGACAUAUGAGACUGUGAUCUUGAUGUGCUAUAUGGUCUUGACAGUGAUUGGCAGCCGCUCCGCACCUGAUGUGAUGUCAGCGGGAUGGGGUUGGAGCCAGCAGGAGAUGUCAGGACAGACCCCUAGAAUUCACGUCACCACAGAGACAAGACACCUGGACCGGAUUGUCGUUUCAGAGACAGGGAGAGGGCUUAUGCCGGGAGAGAGACAUCCAGAAAGAGGGGCUGGAGAGAGACUUCCAGAAAGAGGGGCUGGGGAGAGACUUCCAGAAAGAGGGUCUGGGGAGAGACUUCCAGAAAGAGGGGCUGGGGAGAGACUUCCAGAAAGAGGGGCUGGGAAGAGACUUCCAGAACAAGGGGCUGGGGAGAGACUUCCAGAAAGAGGGGCUGGGGAGAGACUUCCAGAAAGAGGGGCUGGGGAGAACUCUGCAGCCUUCCUCCUCUCACAGCAGGAACAGGACUACACUGAGCAAAUGUUUCCCAAGGUGAAGGUUCCCAAGUUUGCAACCCUUCAGCCUAGUUUUCUGAAGAACUUGAAGACGGUGAUGCCAACUGUGGUAUGUUAACCCUAACCCUGUGGUAUGUUAACCCUAACCCUGUGGUAUGUUAACCCUAACCCUGUGGUAUGUUAACCCUAACCCUGUGGUAUGUUAACCCUAACCCUGUGGUAUGUUACCCCUUAACCCUGUGGUAUGUUAACCCUAACCCUGUGGUAUGUUAACCCUAACCCUGUGGUAUGUUAACCCUAACCCUGUGGUAUGUUAACCCUAACCCUGUGGUAUGUUAACCCUAACCCUGUGGUAUGUUAACCCUAACCCUGUGGUAUGUUAACCCUAACCCUGUGGUAUGUUAACCCUAACCCUGUGGUAUGUUAACCCUAACCCUGUGGUAUGUUACCCCUAACCCUGUGGUAUGUUACCCCCUAACCCUGUGGUAUGUUACCCCUAACCCUGUGGUAUGUUAACCCUAACCCUGUGGUAUGUUAACCCUAACCCUGUGGUAUGUUACCCCUAACCCUGUGGUAUGUUACCCCCCUAACCCUGUGGUAUGUUACCCCCUAACCCUGUGGUAUGUUAACCCUAACCCUGUGGUAUGUUAACCCUAACCCUGUGGUAUGUUAACCCUAACCCUGUGGUAUGUUAACCCUAACCCUGUGGUAUGUUAACCCUAACCCUGUGGUAUGUUACCCCCUAACCCUGUGGUAUGUUACCCCCUAACCCUGUGGUAUGUUACCCCCUAACCCUGUGGUAUGUUAACUCUAACCCUGUGGUAUGUUAACCCUAACUCUAACCCUGUGGUAUGUUAACCCUAACCCUGUGGUAUGUUAACCCUAACCCUGUGGUAUGUUAACCCUAACCCUGUGGUAUGUUAACCCUAACCCUGUGGUAUGUUAACCCUAACCCUAACCCUGUGGUAUGUUAACCCUAACCCUAACCCUGUGGUAUGUUAACCCUAACCCUAACCCUGUGGUAUGUUAACCCUAACCCUAACCCUGUGGUAUGUUAACCCUAACCCUAACCCUGUGGUAUGUUAACCCUAACUCUGUGGUAUGUUAACCCUACCCUGUGGUAUGUUAACCCUAACCCUAACUCUGUGGUAUGUUAACCCCUACCCUGUGGUAUGUUAACCCUAACCCUGUGGUAUGUUAACCCUAACACUGUGGUAUGUUAACCCUAACUCUGUGGUAUGUUAACCCUAACUCUGUGGUAUGUUAACCCUAACCCUGUGGUAUGUUAACCCUAACCCUGUGGUAUGUUAACCCUAACCCUGUGGUAUGUAACCCUACCCUGUGGUAUGUUAACCCUAACCCUGUGGUAUGUUAACCCUAACCCUAACCCUGUGGUAUGUUAACCCUAACCCUAACCCUGUGGUAUGUUAACCCUAACCCUGUGGUAUGUUAACCCUAACCCUGUGGUAUGUUAACCCUAACCCUGUGGUAUGUUAACCCUAACCCUGUGGUAUGUUAACCCUAACCCUGUGGUAUGUUAACCCUAACCCUGUGGUAUGUUAACCCUAACCCUGUGGUAUGUUAACCCUAACCCUGUGGUAUGUUAACCCUAACCCUAACCCUAACCCUGUGGUAUAUUAACCUCUACCCUGUGGUAUGUUAACCCUAACCCUAACCCUGUGGUAUGUUAACCCUAACCCUGUGGUAUGUUAACCUAACCCUGUGGUAUGUUAACCCUAACCCUGUGGUAUGUUAACCCUAACCCUGUGGUAUGUUAACCCUAACCCUGUGGUAUGUUAACCCUAACCCUGUGGUAUAUUAACCCUAACCCUGUGGUAUGUUAACCCUAACCCUGUGGUAUGUUAACCCUAACCCUGUGGUAUGUUAACCCUGUGGUAUGUUAACCCUAACCCUAACUCUGUGGUAUGUUAACCCUAACCCUGUGGUAUGUUAACCCUAACCCUGUGGUAUGUUAACCCUAACCCUGUGGUAUGUUAACCCUAACCCUGUGGUAUGUUAACCCUAACCCUGUGGUAUGUUAACCCUAACCCUGUGGUAUGUUAACCCUAACCCUAACCCUGUGGUAUGUUAACCCUAACUCUGUGGUAUGUUAACCCUAACCCUGUGGUAUGUUAACCCUAACCCUGUGGUAUGUUAACCCUAACCCUGUGGUAUGUUAACCCUAACCCUGUGGUAUGUUAACCCUAACCCUGUGGUAUGUUAACCCUAACCCUGUGGUAUGUUAACCCUAACCCUGUGGUAUGUUAACCCUUACCCUGUGGUAUGUUAACCCUUACCCUGUGGUAUGUUAACCCUAACCCUGUGUUAUGUUAACCCUAACCCUGUGGUAUGUUAACCCUAACCCUAACCCUGUGGUAUGUUAACCCUAACCCUAACCCUGUGGUAUGUUAACCCUAACCCUGUGGUAUGUUAACCCUAACCCUGUGGUAUGUUAACCCUAACCCUGUUGUAUGUUAACCCUAACUCUGUGGUAUGUUAACCCUAACUCUGUGGUAUGUUAACCCUAACUCUGUGGUAUGUUAACCCUAACCCUGUGGUAUGUUAACCCUAACCCUGUGGUAUGUUAACCCUAACCCUGUGGUAUGUUAACCCUAACCCUGUGGUAUGUUAACCCUAACCCUAACCCUGUGGUAUGUUAACCCUAACCCAGUGGUAUGUUAACCCUAACCCUGUGGUAUGUUAACCCUAACCCGGUGAUAUGUUAACCCUAACCCGGUGGUAUGUUAACCCUAACCCUAACCCGGUGGUAUGUUAACCCUAACCCUAACCCUGUGGUAUGUUAACCCUAACCCUGUGGUUUGUUAACCCUAACCCUAACCCUGUGGUAUGUUAACCCUAACCCUAACCCGGUGGUAUGUUAACCCUAACCCUAACCCUGUGGUAUGUUAACCCUAACCCUAACCCUGUGGUAUGUUA